CUCAGCCUCCUCAGCAUCCCUCAUCUCCCUCAGCAUCUCUUAGCCUUCCUCAGCCGCGGCUGCUCCGGGGCGAUCGGAUCCGUGGAGCUCUUACCGCGGCCUGAACCGAGCCGGGGCUUCCCACCCAGCACACAGGAGAAAGCAAUGCACCAUGGAUCACAGUGAGAAGGGGUCUUCAGUGUUGCCAUCAGGACUCYUAAAGUGUUCUGAUUCUGCAGAAUGAGGAAGGAGAGACAUUUUUAASAGAAGAAAUGCUAUGUCCAGCCAGGUGACAGAACACACUCAAACAGAUCACAAAAGCACUGUGGCCUCUGCUGCAAAGAUGUCAGUAAGUGUCAUUU